CCUGUAAAACUAAGGCCGGCUACACACUGGAUGUGUUGCGCGAGAAUGUCAGCUGCGUGGCGUGUCCGUUUUUAUUUUGGCUCCCAUGAUAACAGGUUAGAGCUUACACACUGCCUGCAUGACACGCAUGCAUGAUAAAAAUAGAGA